CGAACCCGGGUUUCCUGCAUUGCAGGCAGAUUCUUUACUGUCUGAGCCACCAGGGAAGCCACCUUUUAUUUGAUGCUCAGGCAUUAAGGAAAGCUUGAGGAUCUUUCAGACUAGGCUGACUGUCCUGCCUGUUCUUGUAGCGAACUCUGCCUACCUGAUACAAAGCACCACACCCCCAUCGCCCCUCUGCUGGGCUGCGUGCUCUAUGGUAGCAGAGCUGGGAGCUGGUCAAUGCCAUGUCCUCUGGCAUGUGGGAAGCAAUAACUCAAGCUUUGUUUGAUGAAGACGGGAGACAACCAGGAUGUUCAUGCCCCUGACUCAAAUGUCAACGCUAAUUCUCUAAGUGAUUUUUGGCAACAUUUUUUCAAAUGUAAUCCUGGGAGCCCUGGAACCUCAAAUCCUAGCUCUCUGAGGAGAGUCCAGCUUCUUCCAUCAACAUGGACCUCAGGACCCUGGUGUGAGAAAGGGCCUGGAAGAUAAGCCUAGACAUCUCCAACUGGAACUCGGGAUGAAUUCUCCCAUAGACCUACCUGUGAAUGGUGCCUGGCAUGGUCAAGGCUGAGACAACUAAAUGUGUGUUUUGUAUACACCCUCUAUGAAUCUGUGCUGGAUUGCCAAAAUAUGGAAACAUAAGUAGAAACACCUAGAGAGUGCCUGACCUUGUGAAAAAGACCUAUAAUUCCAAUUAAUAUUUUUUAAAGCCUAAGUUUGACUCCCCAAAACCUUUUCUCUACAGUAUCUUGAACCAUACAGCAUUCGUUCUAUUGACUAAGUUCAGCUGACGCAAAGCAAGAACGGAAGAAAGCAGUGGUGAUGGGGUGACUCAUCGGCCUUCAGUGGAGGCAAUUAUGUCGGGCACACAGAGUCUGUGGGAGCUGCCCUUCCACCGAGGGAGAGACAAAGCGCAGGGCGUCUCAGCACCGAGGGUCUGUGUCUGUCCACGCAGCCAGCGGCCCCGUGUAGGAUGGGAGUCACGAAGCUCGGCCGGUAGAGACGUGGGUCCUUUGAAGUUUCUUUUUUACAAGUGAUUUCAAUUAGAGAGCAGUUUCUAUUUUAAUAGUGUCCUGGGUGAAAUCAGGCUUUAAGAUUUUGAAGUCUUGGUGGGUAGAAAGGAGGAAAAAGGUUUAAAAGCGGCUCGCCGUUUUGGUGAAAGCAUCCGUUUCCUUUAGACCGAGCCCUGGUUGUUUUCUGGAAGCCCCUCAGUGGCCUUUGGGUGACACCUGUGUCAAAGCGGGUGGCCAGUGUUUGAAGGGAGCGUGGGGAGGCAAUCUCGGUGCAGACGUCUUCCACCAAGACACGAUAGUCUGCUUGGGGUGUGGUUGAGGUGGAUCUGAGCCUCUGUAAGUGGAAGGUUUUUGGUAAGAGACAAAGGGAGUGGAAAGGUGGGAUCUGCUUCUCAAAGAUGAGGGCCUAUAGCCAGAAGGGACCCCAAAUAAGCCUGUUCUGACCCCUCUGAUGGCAGAUGUAUUCCAACUAUCGC
rnacentral:lncRNA from 1 species